GAUCCUGGCUCGGGACGAACGCUGGCGGCGUGCCUAAUACAUGCAAGUCGAGCGAAGUUUUUCUGGUGCUUGCACUAGAAAAACUUAGCGGCGAACGGGUGAGUAACACGUAAAGAACCUGCCUCAUAGACUGGGACAACUAUUGGAAACGAUAGCUAAUACCGGAUAACAGCAUUAACUGCAUGGUUGAUGUUUGAAAGUUGGUUUUGCUAACACUAUGAGAUGGCUUUGCGGUGCAUUAG
rnacentral:rRNA from 1 species